rnacentral:lncRNA from 1 species
CAGGCUGGUAAACCAAUAUAUAUAUGUUACACAGGAUGCAAAGGUCCAUACCAUGAAAGUUCAUUACAUGUCAUUGAUGCAUUUCCUAUAAUAUGUACCAUGAUACACCAAAAGCUUCAAAGUUUGGUACAACAUCAUAAUAAUAAGUUCUUUCACAUCCUUCCAAGAUAUACGUCAAAUAUACAAUGGGAAAUUAAUUCAAAUAGUCAAAAGAUGCCUUGACACUGACAUAUAAUCAAGGAAUUGUACAAAAAAAAUUACACUUAAAUAAUUCGAAUCAACAAAACAAAAGAUUCAAGAAAGAUCAACAUAGAAAACUGGGCUUUGCUCUAAAGGAUAAAGGUGCCAGAAACAUAUACAUACUGUCCAGAUCGACAGAUAUACUGAAUUUUCUCUUCUCUAAUAUGAGAUCUUCUAUGUACCAUAAUCUCCAACAGAAAUAUGGACAUAAAUAAACGCCUCUUGUCUCAGUAAAUAGAUUGAAUAGCACACACAUACUUGCAACUCGUGAUCUGCAUGACAGCACAAAAAACACAAACAAAUGAAGGCAAUGAGACCAUGAAUCAUGGGCAAGCUACUGCAUGACAACUGCAAGCAACCACAACAUCAAAUUCAGGCCAUGUAGGUUGUUGUAACACACAAUGCUAAUAGCGAGGGGAGUGACAUUUAUAGAUGAUACCGACAUCGAAGGUAAACAGAGCAACCCAACUGUUAAUUCUGUUGUUGGACAAAAACCUAAGAAAGUUGUAUCUACACAGAUUGAUUAGAAAACAAGAGAGGAACUUUAAAUAGAAGAUGUGAGAGAAUGAAGCAAAUGCCAUACUUGAAGAUCUUUGCAGAAAGAUAUUGUCCAAUUUGGGAACUACACAUGUAGCAUUGAGAAGGCGUCCAUAACUACAUCAUCAUUUAUCUAAAAUAAGGCGACAUGCUUUGUUCAACACACAUAGUUUAGUAGUAAGUACAAAAAAGAGAAAAGCAUAUGUGUAUUUUAGAGCCGGAAGGAUUGUAAGAAACAUAAGUACUAUUUGCAGAUUAUUAUUCAAAAGCUAGAAAAUAAUCUCAAGAGCUAAACAGAGUUGGUCUCACUUAGUAUCUAGGAUUAGAACCUCGGGCUUAUGACAGUGGCGGAAUCAGUCAUUCUGAUGGCACAAUUGGGCUGAAUCGAUGCACGACAACAUGUAAAAAAUUGCAAAGACUUUAGUUAUUCCCUGCUAGCUAUUACAUGUUCAUUAGAGCUAUUAGAUAUAUCAGCUGAAAGUGGAAGAUGAUGUAAAAAGAUGGGACUGAAUCAACACAAGAAAACAUGUAAAAAGUUCAGUGUUGGUCAGUCGAAUCACGUAGUACAUUAUGCUUCCACUUUCAGGUUUACAUAACUUGAAAGAUAACCUCAACUUAAAAUCUAGAACAUGACUUGUAUGAUUAGUAAAGAUUCUCAUUGGAAAACACAUGUCUCGGAAAGGUAACGUCAACUUAAUAUCAAGAACACGACUUGUAGGAUUAGUAAGGAAUCGCAUUGGAAAUCUCAGCAGACUAAUAGGAUACUUAUAUUUUCCCACCAAUAAAAGAAGUUCCUCUAGAUAAAUAAAUCAUACAACAGUGGCAAAUAAUGUAGUAACAGUUUAGUGGCAUUUCAAGACCAAUUGCAAUAACAGUAGUUUGAUAUCUUAAAUGGUAGGGCCGCAAUAAAAUAAGCUGAUUUUUAUGAUCAAGUGUAUGAUGAGAGAAAUACAGAAUGGCAUGGAUGGCUUUGGUACUCAGAUGCGGUGCUGCUUAUCCCUUUUGUUGUAGACACUUAAGACGGAAACCAUCU